UUGGGGUCACCAAGGUGGGACCUGUAGAGAUUUGGGGGGCACCAAGGUGGAACCUGGUGGAGAUUUAGGGGUCACCAAGGUGGAACCUGGUGGAGAUUUGGGGUCACCAAGGGGGUCCUGCUGGAAGUUGGAGGGUGCCAAGGUGGGAUCUGGUGGAGGUUGAGGGGCACCAAGGUGGGACCUGGAAGAUCUGAA